ensembl:lncRNA
AUGCAGAAUCCAAGGAACAGGCAAAGGAGAUUAGAAACUAUGAAGCAGCAACAGAGGCGGCUGCAAGAUAACAUGUCAGGCCUGCAAUCUGGCUGGCCACUGGGACACCACUGCAUAUCCACAGCGUGUCUGCUGUGCACGAAUGGCAGCACCAAAGCAAUGCACAUUUUGGUUGCUGAGUUAUCUCCUGAAAGGGAAUCAGCACAGGCAGCUUGCAAAGCAGUUCAAGGUGGUCGAGUGGCGGAUGGCAAAGAGGAGGAUGAGGUGAACAGGACCAACCAGCCGUUUUACAUCUGCUCAGUGGCAAUGGCGGCAUCUUCUGGGCACCCAGGAUGUGAAAUCUGCAGGGCCUCUCCAGCCACCCUCACCCAGACCCGGCUGAGGACCACCCAGGGGGACAGGAAGCGAGGAGGAAGGAGGGAAGGCAGCAGGGUCAGGAAGGCGGAGUCAAAAUUUCACCUCUGCAUGGUUCCUGUAGUGGCCAAGAGAAAGCUUCCCUUUCAUCCUCUGAAACUUCACUGAAAAAUCAACUCAUGAAAGGCAGAUCAAUCAGAGAAAUGGUAUAUACAUUUAUAACAAACAUGGGGGGAACCACAGAGGGAUUAUCCUACGUCUACCUCACAAAGGGGUACAGAUGGUUGUAUACACUUUUCCUUAAGAGAAAGGGAGAUGGGGAAGUGUGGAUGAUUUUAGAGGGGUGGUAAAUGGUUUUUAGGGGAAUUCAAUGGGUUUGAAGAACAUACAGUGACCUGGGACAAAGUCUGUUGGGCCCACAGAGCAGACCACGGUUUGUGACAAUUCGGCCCAAGUCUGUUAGACUUCAGUCUUUCUUCCUGUGGUAAGAGACUCAGGGAAGGGACUAGAAGUCAUUUUCUUCUUUGGCUCUGGACUUUAGGCAGGUGAUAUGGUUUGGCUCUGGGCCCCCUUCCAAAUCUCAUCCUGAAUUGUACUUCCAGAUACAAUUCCCAGGUGUUGUGGGAGGGACCUGGUGGGAGAUAAUUGAAUCACGGGGGCAGUUUCCCCCAUACUGUUCUCGUGAUGUGAAUAAAUCUCACGAGAGCUGAUAGGUUUAUCAGGAGUUUCUGCUUUUGCACCUUCCUCAUUUUCUCUUGCAACCGCCAUGUAAGAAGUGCUUUUUGCCCUCACCGCGAUUCUGAGGCUUCCCCAGUCAUGUGGAACGGUAAGUCCAAUUAAAACCUCUUUUUCUUCCCAGUCUCCGGCAUGUCUUUAUCGGCAGCAUGAAAACAGACUUAACACAGCAGAUGCGGGAACUCCAGAGAGCAGCUUUCUCCUGUGCUUUGGGAGAGACAGAGGAUUGAGAGACAGGAGGAAGGUGAAGGCCAGAGAGACCUAGAGGCUGCUUCUUCAGUUCAGCAUGUCGGGGUGCCAUAUUUUGGGGUAUUGGUUUCUGAGACCAAACAGUAUCGAUUCUAAAUAAUAAUUAGAAGUAGGACGAGGUCCUCAGCCAUUGUGCAAUGGGAUGUGUUGUCUGGGAUUCAGACUCCAUGGGUGGGAGAUGAUCAAUAAUAUAUCUCCUCUAAUUUCUCUACCACAUUCAGAAACAAUGGCUGCCAUUUCAUUCUAAAGGAAAAUCAAAUGUGCCUCUGAGCUCCCAGGUACGAGUGAUAAGAAGUCAAGACUGGUUCUGGGUUAGCCCUACCCCUCCCUGGGGAUCUUGUAGAAAUCCCAGGGAACCCAGGUGGAGCAUGAUGUUCUGGGGCAGAGCCCCUGGUUACCACACCCUUAGGGUCCCUGCUGAGGAUAGAACAGGAGAGAGGGCGUGCCCACUGCUUCUGGGCCAAGUAGGAUCCUGGCAGAGGCUCCCAAACUUCUAGGCCUAGUGUCCAUCUCCUGGCCACCCACACAUGGCACCCUUCAGAGAGAGAGUCAGCCACCUCUUGGUGGUGUGUGGGAGUGGGAAGGGCACAAGUCCAUGCCACUUAUGCACACCGUCAUCCCUUCCUGCUCUCUGGUCUUGAGGAAAUCACCCAUUUCUCCUCCUGGAAUAAGCCAUUCCCCGACUUGAUUCCUGCAACAGCCUUCCGGAAUCGUCCUGGUCCUCCGAUAUGGGGUGUGUUUGGGUGAAUGAGAGAAUGUGUGCAUAAGCACGGCUAUCUUCUGUGAGUUUGCAACUUCUGGCUAAAGCUCUGAACUGCAAAUACCAGGAACUCCCCAAGACUGAGGAGCUCAGACGUCUACUACAAAGGCCUGUUGGGAUGGGAGAGGGAUAAACGCCUCUCAUUCUUUGACUCCCACUAGAGCAAAACCAACACAAAUGACUCUCUAAGUUAUUCCACACAUACCCAUUUGCAUUCAGGGCUUGGUGAAAGUGCCUUUCUCUGUAGCUGCCUGGUUACAAGGGGGUAGAGAAGCCUGGGAACAAUGAGAUCAAGGUCCUGAGAGUGCUCUGGUUGCUCUCACCUCCUUACCGUCCUCAUCACUAUCACCAUGAGUGCACACACAUGCUAAAGCAAGAAAAAGAAAGUGCUAGGUCUGACUGUUUGGGCUGACUUCAACCAGGAAAUGACAGCAGGGCCCCUGAGUAGAAAUCCUUCCAGGGAUGAGGUGGUGCCUUUACUGGCCAGGCAUAGUAAAUGGUGGCAUGUGCCAUAAUAGGUUUAGCAGGCAAUCCAAAAUGAGGAUACCCCUCCACAUUGACAGAUUGGAGUGGUCCUGCUCAGUGACCCAGGCUGACAGUUGCGGAUGGUGAGUGGAAGGAGCUAUGUGUGAUGGGGGCACAUCUUGAGCCCUUUGUGGAGCCUUCUGCAGCCUGGACUGCAACGGCAGAGGCUAAACCUGGGAAGGCCGGGCUAGGUGGCUGGUGAGCCAUGCUUCUGAGCGAGCCAUGGCCCUGAACAUUGCUCUUGUCUCCACAGUCCCUGGCUCCUUUUCUGGCUGGGCAGGAGUGAUGCCUGAGUAAGUGAAUCCCUCAGGAGGGGCUGGUGGGGUCAUGUACCCUCAAGAGACCUGCCUGGGGUCGUGGCUUUUCAGCAGGCUGCUAUAGGGCAAGGGACCCUCAGAAACCAGGCAAAGCCUGGAGAGCCUGCCAGGAAACUGGGUGGGGAUUAGAGCAGCUGAGCUCUGGGGCGCUCAUGUAAAUAUCGUUGUUUAUUUGCAAUGAUUGUCCUGAAAUGCCAGAUCUGGUGCAUUUCAUUCUCAGUGGCAUUGAGAUACCAACAGUUCCUCAUCACUCUGGAUAAGGCAUGGAAUGGUAACAUGUUCUAACAGAUAAUGAAGAUUGUGUCUCUGGAGGAUUUCCUCCUAAAUGAUAGGCUGUCAUCUGAAUUAUGUGGUACACUUGGCAUUGGGUUUAGCAGGUGAUCCAAAUUAUGCAUUAAUGUAGCCAUAGAGAAAAAGAAAAUGAAUUCAAAUAAGAAAUAUGCCAGGGAUGGUGGCUCACGCCUGUAAUCCUGGCACUUUGGGAGGCUGAGGUGGGUAGAUCACUUGAGGUUAGGAGUUCGAGACCAGCCUGGCCAACAUGGUGAAGCCCUGUCUUUACUAAAAAUACAAAAAAUUAGCCAGGCAUGGUGGCGCAUGCCCGUAAUCCUAGCUACUCAGGAGGCUGAGGCAGGAGAAUUGCUUGAACCUGGUAGGCAGAGGUUGCAGUGAGUUAACAUUGCUGCGCUCCAGCCUGGGUGACAGAACAAGGGUCUGCCUCAAAAAAAAAAAAAAAAAAAAAAAAAAAAAGAAAUAUGGAAGAAAGGCUUUCAGCAUGAAACUUGAUUACUACUUGCUUAUCAAUGGUUUCCUUCUAUCAGGUUGUUAAGCAGGUAGCAAUGAUUUUAAAAAUAAUUAAAUCUUCUCUCAGAACACGUGCGGUAUUUGUUAUUGCUGUUGUCACCCCCAUUAUUACAGCUGUCAGUUACUUCAGAAAGCAGAGGUGUAAGUAACUAUUUAGGUCAUUUCUAAUCUCUCUCUGGAGGACAAUUGCUUCUUCUAGCAUGUUCUCCCAGGCUUUGGUAGGCCUGGCUUUAAAAGGAUCCUGAAAUGAAGUCCUGCCCCUUGCCCAGGAAAGCCUGUUCCGUGGUUACAAGGACAAGUUUCCGCUUGUUAUUCUUUCUCAACUUUCUUUUCCAAAUGUCAUCCUAGCAAUCAUUAAUCACAGCGAAUAAAAGUUAUAAUUAAUAGAGGCCCAAAUUGUUCAAGUGGAAGAUUACUCUUUUGAAUUCUUAUAUUUUUCUAGGAAGAUGUCCUCGAGUUAAUUAUUUAGCAUUUAGGGUUUUAAUUUUUUUUAAACCCAUGGUCUCACUUCUGAGAAGAACAAAUUGAUCACAGUAACAUGGGGGCAAGGGGAUUAUGUAUAAUGUAUGCAGGAGACCCAUGUUAAAAAUAAACACAAGGCUGAGGGCUUUGCUGCUCCCCCUGCUGGCUUUUUAGAAGGGAAAAAGAUAAGCAGCCUAGACUCAGAACUGCGUCAAUCCUAAGGAACCUGCUGAGGUGCCUGUGACACACGCAACCCAGAGAUGUCCACUGUCGGGUUCCAUUAGAUGCUGAGUUGGGCUCUGGGUGAAGGAUCACAGUAGAUGAGCAGAAGAGCCUGCUUCCAAGCAUACAGGAGGGCAUGGUGUCUUCAGGGCCCUGAGGUCUGCCACUCGACGCACUAAGAAAUUGUAUCUUUUAGAUGGAGUCAUCUUGUGUUCCCAGGAUUGAAAACCUCCCCAUCUGCAUUGGGAACAAGGAACAUUUCAAGUUCUAACCCAAGACACAGAGGCACCCGUUCAAAAGUCAGGCAUGAAAGAGUGCAAACUAAAAACCGUGCGCUGUGAGUCUCAGGGAGAGGCAGAGUGUGCAGAAGUGUCUCGUAUCUAGAGUCCCUCCCUGUUCCUGACCUGCUGGCUUGGCAACUCAAGACAGCGUCCCUCCCGGGACUAGCGUUGGGAUUAUGUUCCCAGGUACAAUGCAUAUUUAUAUCCUACAUUCCCUUGUUAGCUCAUUGGUGCCACUUGUUUUUAAAAAAGGAC